UACGGAGGGGCUAGCGUUGUUCGGAAUUACUGGGCGUAAGCGCGCGUAGGCGGCUUGUAAGUUAGAGGUGAAAGCCGGAGCUCAACUCCGGAAUUGCCUUAAGACUGCAUCGCUAGAAUCAUGGAGAGGUGAGUGGAAUUCCGAGUGUAGAGGUGAAAUUCGUAGAUAUUCGGAAGAACACCAGUGGCGAAGGCGACUCACUGGACAUGUAUUGACGCUGAGGUGCGAAAGCGUGGGAGCAACAGG
rnacentral:rRNA from 1 species